UGGGGAAUAUUGGACAAUGGGGGAAACCCUGAUCCAGCGACGCCGCGUGUGUGAAGAAGGCCUGCGGGUUGUAAAGCACUUUUAGUGGGGACAAAAAGUCAUGGGCGAAUACCCCGUGAUCUUGAUUUAACUCACAGAAAAAGCACCGGCUAACUCUGUGCCGGCAGCCGCGGUAAUACAGAGGGUGCGAGCGUUAAUCGGAAUUACUGGGCGUAAAGCGCGCGUAGACGGUUUGGUAAGUCAGAUGUGAAAUCCCUGGGCUCAACCUGGGAACUGCAUUUGAUACUGCCUGGCUAGAGUAUGGAAGAGGGAAGUGGAAUUUCCGGUGUAGCGGUGAAAUGCGUAGAUAUCGGAAGGAACACCAGUGGCGAAAGCGACUUCCUGGUCCAAUACUGACGUUCAUGUGCGAAAGCGUGGGGAGCAAACAGGAUUAGAUACCCUGGUAGUCCACGCCAUAAACGAUGACAACUAGAUGUUGGGAGGGUCUGCCUCUCGGUGUCGCAGCUAACGCGUUAAGUUGUCCGCCUGGGGAGUACGGCCGCAAGG
rnacentral:rRNA from 1 species